GGGACCGCCGCUCGGCGCCGGCAGCGGGCGACCGGGUCCCAGCACCCCGCUUCCGGGGGGACUCGGGGGGACACCCCGCGGGCCCGCCGCCCUCGCCACACCCACAAGGGCUUCACCACUCUGGACUACCUUGUCAAGACAGAGGCAAGCAAAAAGAAAGACACCACUGCACAGAAAUUUGCCAGCAUCUAAAAGCAACAACAUCAUCAUGUAACAUGCAGACCAUAGGUAAAAAACGAAAAACUGUUCAAUCGCUUCGCAUAUGACGGCAACCAAGCAGUGCCACUUAGCAUAUUUCCACAGAGUCCUACUUGGCGAGUUCAUCAAUAUG